rnacentral:lncRNA from 1 species
GACCAUUUUUCAUGGAUUGGGGAAUACAUGUUCGUGAAUAUUUUAUUUCGUGGUGCCAAAGUCUGUAACUCUUAACUUGGUCUUUUAAGUAAAAUUUUAUAUGCAUAUUUGAUUUCGUGGUUUUAAAAACGUCUGCUUAAAUUCCUGCAGCAAAUUUGUAAUUUCACAACGAAAUCCUAAAUAGGUGUCCAACGAAUAACAAU